GCUUUUGAUAAAAGCUCCUUGUUCUGACAUGUAUCUGACACUCACACGCGGCCAAGUCACACUAGCUGCGCAUGCACUCCGACGUCUUCCAUUUGCUUGGUUUCAGCAAAGGCCGUCGAACAUGAAGCUGAGCAAGAUGUGCAGCAGGGGCACUACAGGAGUAGAGAGGCCACAACACCAGUCUCCCACACCCGAGGUUCAGAGGCUGAGCACAACAGGACAGCCAAGAGGCAAAGGGUGACGAGGCAGGUCAAAGCCCCCACCAAGGAAAAAGAUUAGUCUUGCUUCAGGGAUCCUCCCAUCGUCCACUCCGUGCAGCGCCCAGACCACUCCUGUAACUGUCAGGACACUCAGCACCAAAAUGCAGAAAAGAGCGGCAAGGCCGCCGAACAUCAGCAAGAUGUCCAAGCAGAAGUUGUUCCAAGAGGAAAACAACAAACCUGCUAUGACUGUGGGUUUACCACACAAGUCCACCCGGGGAAUAGACCUUAUAUAUGUGACGUGGCUGGUUGGGACUACAGGGCUGCACAAAAACAUCACCUGACUGUAGCCUCCAUAGCAGGCUCUCUGGGGCUUUUUUUGGGCUCAUAAUACACUUUUGCU